UACGUAGGGUGCGAGCGUUAAUCGGAAUUACUGGGCGUAAAGCGUGCGCAGGCGGUGAUGUAAGACAGAUGUGAAAUCCCCGGGCUCAACCUGGGAACUGCAUUGUGACUGCAUCGCUGGAGUGCGGCAGAGGGGGAUGGAAUUCCGCGUGUAGCAGUGAAAUGCGUAGAUAUGCGGAGGAACACCGAUGGCGAAGGCAAUCCCCUGGGCCUGCACUGACGCUCAUGCACGAAAGCGUGGGGAGCAAACAGG
rnacentral:rRNA from 1 species